AGUGGCGCACGGGUGCGUAACACGUAUGCAACCUACCUAUAACUGGGGGAUAGCCUCCCGAAAGGGAGAUUAAUACCGCAUAACAUUAUGAAGUGGCAUCACUUUAUAAUUAAAUCUACGGAGGUUAUAGAUGGGCAUGCGUCCGAUUAGCUAGUUGGUGAGGUAACGGCUCACCAAGGCUCCGAUCGGUAGGGGGUCUGAGAGGAUGAUCCCCCACACUGGUACUGAGACACGGACCAGACUCCUACGGGAGGCAGCAGUAAGGAAUAUUGGACAAUGGGCGCAAGCCUGAUCCAGCCAUGCCGCGUGAAGGAUGAAGGCCCUAUGGGUCGUAAACUUCUUUUAUACGGGAAAAAACCCCUCGAUGCGUCGGGGGUUGAUGGUACUGUAAGAAUAAGGGUCGGCUAACUUCGUGCCAGCAGCCGCGGUAAUACGAAGGACCCGAGCGUUAUCCGGAUUUAUUGGGUUUAAAGGGUGCGUAGGCGGAUUAAUAAGUCAGUGGUGAAAGCCUCUCGCUCAACGGGAGAACUGCCAUUGAUACUGUUAGUCUUGAGUAUGGUUGAGGUGGGCGGAAUGUGUCAUGUAGCGGUGAAAUGCUUAGAUAUGACACAGAACACCAAUUGCGAAGGCAGCUCGCUAAGCCAUAACUGACGCUGAUGCACGAAAGCGUGGGGAGCAAACAGGAUUAGAUACCCUGGUAGUCCACGCCCUAAACGAUGAUAACUCGUUGUUGGCGAUACACAGUCAGCGACUAAGCGAAAGCAUUAA
rnacentral:rRNA from 1 species